rnacentral:rRNA from 1 species
GAUGAACGCUGGCGGCGUGCCUAAUACAUGCAAGUCGAGCGGACGGACGAGAAGCUUGCUUCUCUGAUGUUAGCGGCGGACGGGUGAGUAACACGUGGAUAACCUACCUAUAAGACUGGGAUAACUUCGGGAAACCGGAGCUAAUACCGGAUAAUAUUUUGAACCGCAUGGUUCAAAAGUGAAAGACGGUCUUGCUGUCACUUAUAGAUGGAUCCGCGCUGCAUUAGCUAGUUGGUAAGGUAACGGCUUACCAAGGCAACGAUGCAUAGCCGACCUGAGAGGGUGAUCGGCCACGCUGGAACUGAGACACGGUCCAGACUCCUACGGGAGGCAGCAGUAGGGAAUCUUCCGCAAUGGGCGAAAGCCUGACGGAGCAACGCCGCGUGAGUGAUGAAGGUCUUCGGAUCGUAAAACUCUGUUAUUAGGGAAGAACAUAUGUGUAAGUAACUGUGCACAUCUUGACGGUACCUAAUCAGAAAGCCACGGCUAACUACGUG